rnacentral:rRNA from 1 species
GAUGAACGCUGGCGGCGUGCUUAACACAUGCAAGUCGAACGAGAAAUGGAGACGGAACCCUUCGGGCGGAAGGCUUCAUUUCGAGUGGCGGACGGGUGAGUAACGCGUGGGUAACCUGCCUCAUACAGGGGGAUAACAGUUGGAAACGACUGUUAAUACCGCAUAAGACCACAGCACCGCAUGGUGCGGGGGUAAAAACUCCGGUGGUAUGAGAUGGACCCGCGUUCGAUUAGCCAGUUGGCGGGGUAACGGCCCACCAAAGCGACGAUCGAUAGCCGAUCUGAGAGGAUGACCGGCCACAUUGGGACUGAGACACGGCCCAAACUCCUGCGGGAGGCAGCAGUGGGGAAUAUUGCACAAUGGGGGAAACCCUGAUGCAGCGACGCCGCGUGAGUGAAGAAGUACUUCGGUAUGUAAAGCUCUAUCAGCAGGGAAGAAAAUGACGGUACCUGAGUAAGAAGCCCCGGCUAACUACGUG